rnacentral:rRNA from 1 species
GAUUAUGGCUCAGGAUGAACGCUGGCGGCGUGCUUAACACAUGCAAGUCGAACGAAGCACUUUGAUUCUUCGGAAGAGAAAGUGACUGAGUGGCGGACGGGUGAGUAACGCGUGGGUAACCUGCCUUAUACAGGGGGAUAACAGUUGGAAACGACUGCUAAUACCGCAUAAGCCGACAGGGCCGCAUGGCCUAGUUGGAAAAGAUUUAUCGGUAUAAGAUGGACCCGCGUCUGAUUAGCUAGUUGGUGGGGUAAUGGCCUACCAAGGCGACGAUCAGUAGCCGGCUUGAGAGAGUGAACGGCCACAUUGGGACUGAGACACGGCCCAAACUCCUACGGGAGGCAGCAGUGGGGAAUAUUGCACAAUGGGGGAAACCCUGAUGCAGCAACGCCGCGUGAAGGAAGAAGUAUUUCGGUAUGUAAACUUCUAUCAGCAGGAAAGAAAAUGACGGUACCUGACUAAGAAGCCCCGGCUAACUACGUGCCAGCCGCUGC